ensembl:lncRNA
UGAAUACAGUUUCCAUGGAGCUUGCAACAAAAGAAGGAAAACAUCUUUGAUGUGUUUUCUUGGUGGAAGAUUUUUGUUCAGAUCACUCAGGCGGCUAAACAGAAAGCACCCUGUGCCCACAGGAGAACAGUCUGGAUGAAGUGUAAGAAACCAUAGAGAAAAAUAUUGUAAAGAGAUUGGUCCCAAAGAACCCUGCCACUGAUUUACCAUCUAACAAAUAAAUGAAGGGAGAGUCAGGAAAAUUAACCCAACUUCUCAUGGAUGAUGGAUCCCAGUUACUCAAAUCAUUCCUC